rnacentral:lncRNA from 1 species
AUGCAGGGACUCAAGGCUGACUCUGCUCUCUCUCCUCACACCAGAUUCCACUCCUCUUCACUGCCCACCCCCCACCCAGCUCCACAGUUACUGUGGGGGCGGGCAGCGCGCACAGAUGCAAGUGGGCAGAGACCCCUCCCCUGGGAACUCACAGUCUGGUGUGGACCCCAGGGAGGAGCACAGAUGGAACCUGGGGGGAUGGUUCCAUUGCCCCAAACUAGAAGCAACCAAGACGCCCUCCCAGGUGAACAGGGCCAACCCUGCUGGAUGCACGGCUUCCCCUCCCUGACCGUGGCAGGAAUGGAAAGCAAACCACCUCCGGCUUCCUUUUCCUCCAAAUCAGUGCCCAUCACGUCUCCCGCUGUGAGUCUGCAGAAGCUGGCUGUUCCCACCCAAGGGCCUGCUUGCUUCAGAAGUGAUUUGUCCACAGUGAGAUGCAAAAUAAGCCUGUUUGUGUUUGAAGACUCAGAAGAGACUGCAACCCCUUGGAGGCACGAUGGGUUCGGGCCGCCUGUUGAAUGUGGACCAUAGGAGGUUCGGCUCCUACCUGACAGAUGGCCCACGGCCCUCCCCGCCAGCCCACGUGCUAACCAUCCUCACGUGCAGAUUUGAACCCCUGUCCCACAGUGCACCAGGACCCCUGCCAAAUUCUUACAUCCUGCCCUGAAAAUAAGGCCCAUUUACAACAUCUGACCCGGACAAGCCUCUCGUGGGCUCUAUAAAAAUUCUUCUCUGGGUCAAUCUCAACUAUUAAAACAAUUUGUAGGAAAACAAAAAGUGUUGAAAAUAAAUACACCAAAACACGAAUAAUCA